rnacentral:rRNA from 1 species
CAGCACCUCAAGUGGUCAGGAUGAUUAGUGGGCCUAAAGCAUCCGUAGCCGGCGCUGUAAGUUUUCGGUUAAAUCUGUACGCUCAACGUACAGGCUGCCGGGAAUACUGCAGCGCUAGGGAGUGGGAGAGGUAGACGGUACUCGGUAGGAAGGGGUAAAAUCCUUUGAUCUAUUGAUGACCACCUGUGGCGAAGGCGGUCUACCAGAACACGUCCGACGGUGAGGGAUGAAAGCUGGGGGAGCAAACCGGAUUAGAGACCCGAGUAGUCC